rnacentral:rRNA from 1 species
CAGCCGCCGCGGUAAUACCGGCGGCCCGAGUGGCGGCCACUAUUAUUGGGCCUAAAGCGUCCGUAGCCGGGCUGGUAAGUCCUCCGGGAAAUCUGGUCGCUUAACGAUCAGACUUCCGGAGGAUACUGCUGGCCUAGGGACCGGGAGAGGCCGAGGGUAUUCCCGGGGUAGGGGUGAAAUCCUGUAAUCCCGGGAGGACCACCUGUGGCGAAGGCGCUCGGCUGGAACGGGUCCGACGGUGAGGGACGAAGGCCAGGGGAGCGAACCGGAUUAGAUACCCGGGUAGUCCUGGCUGUAAACGAUGCGGACUUUGUGUCGGACAAGCUAUGAGCUUGUCCGGUGCCGGAGGGAAACCGUUAAGUCCGCCGCCUGGGGAGUACGGCCGCAAGGCUGAAACUUAAAGGAAUUGGCGGG